rnacentral:rRNA from 1 species
CGGAGUAAUGUAUGGGGAUCUGCCUGAUGGCGGGGGAUAACUACUGGAAACGGUAGCUAAUACCGCAUAAUGUCUACGGACCAAAGCGGGGGACCUCCGGGCCUCGCGCCAUCAGAUGAACCCAUAUGGGAUUAGCUAGUAGGUGAGGUAACGGCUUACCUAGGCGACGAUCCCUAGCUGGCCUGAGAGGAUGAUCAGCCACACUGGGACUGAGACACGGCCCAG